rnacentral:rRNA from 1 species
UCUGGAAAGGCGCGCGAUACAGGGUGACAGCCCCGUACACAAAAAUGCACAUAUUGUGAGCUCGAUGAGUAGGGCGGGACACGUGGUAUCCUGUCUGAAUAUGGGGGGACCAUCCUCCAAGGCUAAAUACUCCUGACUGACCGAUAGUGAACCAGUACCGUGAGGGAAAGGCGAAAAGAACCCCGGCGAGGGGAGUGAAAAAGAACCUGAAACCGUGUACGUACAAGCAGUGGGAGCACGCUUAGGCGUGUGACUGCGUACCUUUUGUAUAAUGGGUCAGCGACUUAUAUUCUGUAGCAAGGUUAACCGAAUAGGGGAGCCGAAGGGAAACCGAGUCUUAACUGGGCGUUAAGUUGCAGGGUAUAGACCCGAAACCCGGUGAUCUAGCCAUGGGCAGGUUGAAGGUUGGGUAACACUAACUGGAGGACCGAACCGACUAAUGUUGAAAAAUUAGCGGAUGACUUGUGGCUGGGGGUGAAAGGCCAAUCAAACCGGGAGAUAGCUGGUUCUCCCCGAAAGCUAUUUAGGUAGCGCCUCGUGAAUUCAUCUCCGGGGGUAGAGCACUGUUUCGGCAAGGGGGUCAUCCCGACUUACCAACCCGAUGCAAACUGCGAAUACCGGAGAAUGUUAUCACGGGAGACACACGGCGGGUGCUAACGUCCGUCGUGAAGAGGGAAACAACCCAGACCGCCAGCUAAGGUCCCAAAGUCAUGGUUAAGUGGGAAACGAUGUGGGAAGGCCCAGACAGCCAGGAUGUUGGCUUAGAAGCAGCCAUCAUUUAAAGAAAGCGUAAUAGCUCACUGGUCGAGUCGGCCUGCGCGGAAGAUGUAACGGGGCUAAACCAUGCACCGAAGCUGCGGCAGCGACGCUUAUGCGUUGUUGGGUAGGGGAGCGUUCUGUAAGCCUGUGAAGGUGUGCUGUGAGGCAUGCUGGAGGUAUCAGAAGUGCGAAUGCUGACAUAAGUAACGAUAAAGCGGGUGAAAAGCCCGCUCGCCGGAAGACCAAGGGUUCCUGUCCAACGUUAAUCGGGGCAGGGUGAGUCGACCCCUAAGGCGAGGCCGAAAGGCGUAGUCGAUGGGAAACAGGUUAAUAUUCCUGUACUUGGUGUUACUGCGAAGGGGGGACGGAGAAGGCUAUGUUGGCCGGGCGACGGUUGUCCCGGUUUAAGCGUGUAGGCUGGUUUUCCAGGCAAAUCCGGAAAAUCAAGGCUGAGGCGUGAUGACGAGGCACUACGGUGCUGAAGCAACAAAUGCCCUGCUUCCAGGAAAAGCCUCUAAGCAUCAGGUAACAUCAAAUCGUACCCCAAACCGACACAGGUGGUCAGGUAGAGAAUACCAAGGCGCUUGAGAGAACUCGGGUGAAGGAACUAGGCAAAAUGGUGCCGUAACUUCGGGAGAAGGCACGCUGAUAUGUAGGUGAAGCGACUUGCUCGUGGAGCUGAAAUCAGUCGAAGAUACCAGCUGGCUGCAACUGUUUAUUAAAAACACAGCACUGUGCAAACACGAAAGUGGACGUAUACGGUGUGACGCCUGCCCGGUGCCGGAAGGUUAAUUGAUGGGGUCAGCGCAAGCGAAGCUCUUGAUCGAAGCCCCGGUAAACGGCGGCCGUAACUAUAACGGUCCUAAGGUAGCGAAAUUCCUUGUCGGGUAAGUUCCGACCUGCACGAAUGGCGUAAUGAUGGCCAGGCUGUCUCCACCCGAGACUCAGUGAAAUUGAACUCGCUGUGAAGAUGCAGUGUACCCGCGGCAAGACGGAAAGACCCCGUGAACCUUUACUAUAGCUUGACACUGAACAUUGAGCCUUGAUG